rnacentral:lncRNA from 1 species
CCAGCACCCCGGUACCCUGAGGAAGGCGUCGAGGGCUCCGUUCUCCAUGUACUCGGUGAGGAUCAUGGCGGGGGCACUGGCGGUCACCACCCCCCGCAGCCUCACCACGUUGGGGUGCGCAAAUUGCCCCAUACGGGCGGCCUCCCCCAAAAAAUCCCGGCGCUGCCGCUCGCCAGCGCCCCCCUUCAGGGUCUUCACCGCCACCGGCGACUCCGGGCGCCCCGGCAGCGCCAGCCGGCCCCGGCAAACCUCCCCGAAUUCUCCUGGGGGGGCAAAGAGGUGUUGGGGAUGGGACACGGGGACCGAGGGGCUCCCCCGCGAUGCCCUAAAGCACCCCGUAGGGUCAAUGGGGCUUUGUUGGGUGGCGUUGGGGUGUCUUGGGGACGUUAUUGGGGACAUCGUUGGGGACAUAAUUGGGGACAUCGUUGGGGUGUUGUUGGGAACAUCGUUGGGAUGUCAUUGGGGACAUCGUUGGGUGUCAUUGGGAUGUCUUGGGGACAUCGUUGGGGACAUCUUUGGUAUGUCAUUAUGGGACAACAUUGGGUGUCAUUGGGGACAUCAUUGGGCCAUCGUUGGGGACAUUUUUGGGCCAUCGUUGAGUAAAACCAGAACGGGAUGUCAACGGGGACAUCAUUGGGGACAUUACUGGGGACAUCGUUGGGGACAUUAUUGGGGACAUUAUUGGGAUGUCGUUGGGCAGAUUGGGGUGUUCAUGGAUGGGGACAUGGAUGGGGACAUCUUUGGGGACAUUUUUGGGGAUACAUCGACGGGGACGUGGCUGGGGUCACCCUGGGGACGGGGGCGUUUUGGGGGGGGGGGGGGGGGGGACGGCGGUGUCAUUGUCACCUGCCCCGAUGACCUCCUCGAUCUUGACGCAGGCGACGUCGAUCUCCUGGGCGAAGUCCCGCACGGCCGCCCCGGGGUCCUCGUAGGUGAGGGGGUCGAUGUACAGCUUCCUGCCUGCGUGGCAUCAUCAUCAUCAUCAUCUUCAUCAUCAUCAUCGUCAUCAUCAUCAUCAUCAUUGUCAUCAUCAUCGUCAUCAUCAUCAUCAACAUCAUCAUCGUCAUCAUCAUCAUCUUCAUCAUCAUCAUCAUCAACAUCAUCACCAUCAUCUUCAUCAUCAUCAUCAUCAUCAUCAUCA